rnacentral:rRNA from 1 species
GAUGAACGCCGGCGGCGUGCCUAAUACAUGCAAGUCGAGCGAACGGACGAGAAGCUUGCUUUUCUGAUGUUAGCGGCGGACGGGUGAGUAACACGUGGAUAACCUACCUAUAAGACUGGGAUAACUUCGGGAAACCGGAGCUAAUACCGGAUAAUAUUUUGAACCGCAUGGUUCAAAAGUGAAAGACGGUCUUGCUGUCACUUAUAGAUGGAUCCGCGCUGCAUUAGCUAGUUGGUAAGGUAACGGCUUACCAAGGCAACGAUGCAUAGCCGACCUGAGAGGGUGAUCGGCCACACUGGAACUGAGACACGGUCCAGACUCCUACGGGAGGCAGCAGUAGGGAAUCUUCCGCAAUGGGCGAAAGCCUGACGGAGCAACGCCGCGUGAGUGAUGAAGGUCUUCGGAUCGUAAAACUCUGUUAUUAGGGAAGAACAUAUGUGUAAGUAACUGUGCACAUCUUGACGGUACCUAAUCAGAAAGCCACGGCUAACUACGUGCCAGCAGCCGCGGUAAUACGUAGGUGGCAAGCGUUAUCCGGAAUUAUUGGGCGUAAAGCGCGCGUAGGCGGUUUUUUAAGUCUGAUGUGAAAGCCCACGGCUCAACCGUGGAGGGUCAUUGGAAACUGGAAAACUUGAGUGCAGAAGAGGAAAGUGGAAUUCCAUGUGUAGCGGUGAAAUGCGCAGAGAUGUGGAGGAACACCAGUGGCGAAGGCGACUUUCUGGUCUGUAACUGACGCUGAUGUGCGAAAGCGUGGGGAUCAAACAGGAUUAGAUACCCUGGUAGUCCACGCCGUAAACGAUGAGUGCUAAGUGUUAGGGGGUUUCCGCCCCUUAGUGCUGCAGCUAACGCAUUAAGCACUCCGCCUGGGGAGUACGGCCGCAAGGUUGAAACUCAAAGGAAUUGACGGGGGCCCGCACAAGCGGUGGAGCAUGUGGUUUAAUUCGAAGCAACGCGAAGAACCUUACCAAAUCUUGACAUCCUUUGACAACUCUAGAGAUAGAGCCUUCCCCUUCGGGGGACAAGGUGACAGGUGGUGCAUGGUUGUCGUCAGCUCGUGUCGUGAGAUGUUGGGUUAAGUCCCGCAACGAGCGCAACCCUUAAGCUUAGUUGCCAUCAUUAAGUUGGGCACUCUAAGUUGACUGCCGGUGACAAACCGGAGGAAGGUGGGGAUGACGUCAAAUCAUCAUGCCCCUUAUGAUUUGGGCUACACACGUGCUACAAUGGACAAUACAAAGGGCAGCGAAACCGCGAGGUCAAGCAAAUCCCAUAAAGUUGUUCUCAGUUCGGAUUGUAGUCUGCAACUCGACUACAUGAAGCUGGAAUCGCUAGUAAUCGUAGAUCAGCAUGCUACGGUGAAUACGUUCCCGGGUCU